CCCGCCUGGGGAGUACGGUCGCAAGACUAAAACUCAAGGAAAUUGACGGGGGCCCGCACAAGCAGCGGAGCAUGCGGCUUAAUUCGAUGCAACGCGAAGAACCUUACCUAGGCUUGACAUAUAGAGAAAUCCCACAGAGAUGUGGAGUCCGUAAGGGCUCUAUACAGGUGGUGCAUGGUUGUCGUCAGCUCGUGUCGUGAGAUGUUGGGCUAAGUCCCGCAACGAGCGCAACCCUCGUUCUAUGUUGCCAGCGCGUAAUGGCGGGGACUCAUAGGAGACUGCCGGGGUCAACUCGGAGGAAGGUGGGGAUGACGUCAAAUCAUCAUGCCCCUUAUGCCUAGGGCUGCACGCAUGCUACAAUGGCCGAUACAAAGGGCUGCGAUACCGCAAGGUGGAGCGAAUCCCAUAAAGUCGGUCUCAGUUCGGAUUGGGGUCUGCAACUCGACCCCAUGAAGUUGGAGUUGCUAGUAAUCGCAGAUCAGCAACGCUGCGGUGAAUACGUUCCCGGGCCUUGUACACA
rnacentral:rRNA from 1 species